UACGUAGGGUCCAAGCGUUAUCCGGAAUCACUGGGCGUAAAGCGUGCGUAGGUGGAUAAUUAAGUGCAGUGCGAAAUCCUGUGGCUCAACCAUAUGGACUGUACCGCAUACUGGUUAUCUAGAGGAUAUGAGAGGCAAGUGGAAUUACCGGUGUAGCAGUGGAAUGCGUAGAUAUCGGGAGGAACACCGGUGGCGAAGGCGGGUCUCUGGGCAAUUCCUGACGCUGAGGCGCGAAAGCGUGGGGAGCAAACGGG
rnacentral:rRNA from 1 species